CCUACGGGGGGCUGCAGUGGGGAAUAUUGCACAAUGGAGGAAACUCUGAUGCAGCGACGCCGCGUGAACGAUGAAGGCUUUCGGGUCGUAAAGUUCUGUCCUAGGGGACGAUAAUGACGGUACCCUAGGAGGAAGCCCCGGCUAACUACGUGCCAGCAGCCGCGGUAAUACGUAGGGGGCGAGCGUUGUCCGGAUUUAUUGGGCGUAAAGGGUUCGCAGGCGGUCUCUUAAGUUAGAUGUGAAAGAUCACGGCUCAACCGUGGUAAGCAUUUAAAACUGGGAGACUUGAGUUAAGGAGAGGAAAGUGGAAUUCCUAGUGUAGCGGUGAAAUGCGUAGAUAUUAGGAGGAAUACCAGUGGCGAAGGCGACUUUCUGGACUUAUACUGACGCUGAGGAACGAAAGCGUGGGGAGCAAACAGGAUUAGAUACCCCUGUAGUC
rnacentral:rRNA from 1 species